rfam:Gossypium raimondii Chr06_contig_245, whole genome shotgun sequence.
AACCCAUGAUAAGGACACAUUCUUAGAAAAUCCUUAAAUCUCUUCCAUGCAUCAUGCAGUGUCUCAAGCUCAAAUUGAGCAAAAUAAGAGAUGUCAUUCCUUAACUU